CGUGCUUAACACAUGCAAGUCGAACGGUGAAAGAGAGCUUGCUCUCUGGAUCAGUGGCGAACGGGUGAGUAACACGUGAGCAAUCUGCCCCUGACUCUGGGAUAAGCGUUGGAAACGACGUCUAAUACCGGAUACGAGCUGCGAAGGCAUCUUCAGCAGCUGGAAAGAACUUCGGUCAGGGAUGAGCUCGCGGCCUAUCAGCUAGUUGGUGAGGUAAUGGCUCACCAAGGCGUCGACGGGUAGCCGGCCUGAGAGGGUGACCGGCCACACUGGGACUGAGACACGGCCCAGACUCCUACGGGAGGCAGCAGUGGGGAAUAUUGCACAAUGGGCGCAAGCCUGAUGCAGCAACGCCGCGUGAGGGACGACGGCCUUCGGGUUGUAAACCUCUUUUAGCAGGGAAGAAGCGAAAGUGACGGUACCUGCAGAAAAAGCACCGGCUAACUACGUGCCAGCAGCCGCGGUAAUACGUAGGGUGCAAGCGUUAUCCGGAAUUAUUGGGCGUAAAGAGCUCGUAGGCGGUUUGUCGCGUCUGCUGUGAAAACUGGGGGCUCAACCCCCAGCCUGCAGUGGGUACGGGCAGACUAGAGUGCGGUAGGGGAGAUUGGAAUUCCUGGUGUAGCGGUGGAAUGCGCAGAUAUCAGGAGGAACACCGAUGGCGAAGGCAGAUCUCUGGGCCGUAACUGACGCUGAGGAGCGAAAGGGUGGGGAGCAAACAGGCUUAGAUACCCUGGUAGUCCACCCCGUAAACGUUGGGAACUAGUUGUG
rnacentral:rRNA from 1 species